rnacentral:rRNA from 1 species
UACGAAGGGGAGCUAGCGUUGUUCGGAAUUACUGGGCGUAAAGCGCACGUAGGCGGAUACUUAAGUCAGGGGUGAAAUCCCCGGGCUCAACCCGGGAACUGCGUCCGAUACUGGAGGGCUUGAAUCCGGGAGAGGGAUGCGGAAUUCCAGGUGUAGCGGUGAAAUGCGUAGAUAUCUGGAGGAACACCGGUGGCGAAGGCGGCAUCCUGGACCGGCAUUGACGCUGAGGCGCGAAAGCCAGGGGAGCAAACGGG